GGAGCUGAUGAUAAUAGACUGAGAAGUCGUUUCCUCGAUAAUGGAUGGAAUAAAAGAGCUGAGUCUCGGAUAACCAUAAUGGGAGCUGUUUGGAAGUUGAAGUUCAGGAGAAAAUACUGGGGUAUUAAUAUCACUAGUAAGGCUUGGAAUAUAGUGAUCACGGUAGCAGGUAGAGGAGGAGGACUCUAGUAAUUAUAAGCAAGUUCGGAUAAGUUAUAUACAAUCUAUUUCUAGUAAACUCUAUGACUUGUCUUUUUUACCGCGCAACGAGCGCGCACACGUGUUUGUGUGUGUUUAUGUAUGUAUAAGCAAAUACUAAAUUUGAACGUGGCAACAUUUUUAUCCCUACUCCACUCUUUCUAUAUCGACUAAUUCAGGCGAGGUGCUUUAUCAGUGACAGUGAAGGGGUUUUCUUUCAUUUCUACGCCUCUAAAGUGGAACAAACAGAGUUUUAAAAAAAAAUCAUAACUUAAUUCGAGAUGGAAGGAGAAGUGAAAAGAGAAGCAGCCAGUUAGAGUGGUGUCUGUUCUGUCUGGCUUACUCUUUCCUUUCUUCUCCAACACCGUCAAAACGGCACUGGACAUUGAAAACUUUUAGAAACUGACUCAUCGCUGCAGUCGGUGGGGCGACAAGGUAGAGAGGAAUAUUGCUGCUGUCUCAACUUAUUCUUUGUGUCUGGCAAAAUAAUACUAACAAAAGUUGACGGAAGACAAGUGCUAUAUAAAUGAAUAGUGGGAAAGAAAUAAACAUAUAUUUCUAUGUUUAAUAAACCAAGGAAGAGAAAAUAAGCAAAAAAAAAAAAAUUGGCAAAAUUCGCAAUUUAAAAGCUUGCCUAUUUUUGAAGCUGAAAAUUUUAAAUAAUUGUAUCACAUUAAAAUAAACACAAUGUUUGAAUUAAAUCAGAUAAUUUAAUAAACACUUUGUUAUUGAUUUUAAAGUAUUAAAUUUUCAAAACGUCUUUCAAGGCUAGAUUAAUUAUAAUGUACAUAAAGAAAGCAAUUUAUUAAUUACUGAACAAAGAAACACUGUUCACGUUCCACGUUUUCCAUGAACCUAUGGAUACUGUUUACACGGAGCUUACUGUGCUGGUCGCCGCCUGAAAGAUGACAAAGAAUCAUGUGAUAAUACAAAAAUGUUCAACUGUUUUGAUACAAAGAAAUAUGUGAUAUAUUUUUCUUACCAGUGAUUUACAAGCAAAAUGAAUUCAAUUUCUUCAAAAACUACUGUAAAACAACAUAUUGGACCAAAUAAAAUAGACCAGCUGGAAGUCACUGAAGCUGGGUCAGCAUACAAGGUUCAUUCAGAGAAACCUCAUCUAGUUAGUCUUGGCAGUGGACGGCUCUCUACUGCAGUAACAUUAUUAUCUCUAAAUGAAGGUAUCACCAAAAUUGGAACCAGUGAUGCUACCACUCUUCAAGAUAUUGUCAUACAGGGGACUGGAGUUGAAAGUGAACAUUGCUUCAUUGAAAACAAAAACAAUAUCAUCACAUUAUACCCUAUUGCAAAAAUGUGUGCCCUGGAUGGUGUCAUUAUUACCAAACCAACAAGGCUGGCUCAAGGGAGCAUGUUAUGUCUUGGACGUUCCAAUUACUUUCGCUUCAAUCACCCUCAAGAAGCUAAAAUGAUUAAAAGUGCUAUGCCUGACUGCCGUAUAUCUAUGGUUCCUUUAAACUUUCUUCAUGAACUCGAACAAAGCCCCGAGUAUAUGAAAAUGAUUACUGAAGCUCAGGUGAAAUUACCCUCUCCAACAACUAAAUGUAGCACAGAAAACCGUCCAACUGCACGCAGUCGUCCUCAGCUCCCAAAGAUUGUCAACAAAGACAGCUAUCGUGACAGUUUAGAACAGGAGGAUUUCUUAAACAAAGUCUCUAAAUUUGAACUAAUUUCCAAAGGAAAGCCGAAAUCUUCAAAUAGCAACGCUAAAGCUGAUUCUCCUAGAACUCCUGAAAUUCGUGUUGGUAAUCAGCUCCAUAUAGGAGAGAAAUUAUUUCUCCGUGAUACACAAACAACAAGAGUAGCAGCUAGUCUUGUUCACAACACAACUGACCGAGUGUCUAGCACUUGUAGUUCAAAUAGUUCAUCAUCUCUGACAAGUGUUAGCAGCAUUUCUUCUGAUACCUCAUCCUCCACUCGGGACCCAUCUUCAAAUUCAGUUUCAACACCAUCUCCUUCCAUCUCCUCUAUUAGCCCAUCAUAUAGUAAACCUACAGACAAUAAUAGCAUCACCGUCAGUGCCUCAUCAGUUCUGAGAAAUGGGACUCAGCCUGUACCAAACAAUUCUUCAAUGAUGAAUGGAAACACGACAGCAGAAGAAGCAAAACGUAACACAUUCGAAGGAAUGGAUUUUGAUUUCAAUGAACUGACGUCUAGUCAACAGGAUUUGACCAUUCGUCAUAGAGAAAUUGUGGAACAGCGCAAAAGGGAACAAGCACAAGAGGUUCUUGAGAGGCAACGGUUGGAGGAAAUUCUAAGCAUGUGUGCUGAAUAUGAACAGGAGCUUGAACGGGAGAAACAAAACUCUGGAGAUAUCAACCAAAAUCCAUUUCCAUUCCAAGUAAACAAGUUUUCUUCAAACAAUAAUACAACUCCACAGUUUUCAAAGAGCAAUCCAUUAUUUUCUACUCACAGCACCUCACAGCCAACCACAAGAAAUAUCAAGCCACCUUCACUUUUAGAAAUAAAUUUGGAUUUAUUAACUGCUAAUGACAAAAAAGAUAAAACUGACUUCCGAAGUUCCAUGAAUAAAAUAAAAACUAAUGGAUCAUUAACGCGCCUCUCAUCACCUGGAAAUACACCAAAAGAUGGCAUAUUUGGAUUACAAAACAGAAGAGCUGGAUCAAGUUCAUCCAAUUCCGAAGAAGAGCUUUAUGCCAGCUCAGAGGAUACUGGUACUAUAAAACGGCGCCCUGUCAUUGAUUCCAAUGCCUCAGCUUCCAAAUCUGUUGAAGAGAAAGACACCACAGAUGGGGAAGCUGUUCAUGAAGUAGCAAUUGGCCUACUAACAUCAAGUAUCAACAAUUGUCAGGUAACUUCCUUUGACAAACAAACUGAUCAGGUAAAGCACUGUGAGUCGCAUAUGGUACAUUCUGAAGAAUUAUCUGGAAAGGAGAUGUCAAUGAGUACAAAUGGAUAUUCUUGGCACAAUGAUGAAUCUAGUUCUUCAACAUCAUCGACAGGUACUAUCAAAGAACAGUCCCCAUGUCGUUCUGUGACAGAUAGUAAAUCUGUGAGUAGUGGAGGUCGAACUCCAGUUAACAGUGACAGUGAGCAUAGUCUAAGUCCCACCAAAUCAGUCGACAGACCACCAUCUUCCAGCGGUGUAGAAACAUCAAGUGAGAACAGUUUAGUUAACAUAGAGGAAUCUGAAUUGUGGCGUCAGUUGGGCAGAUUGAAGAAAUCAAAGGGAGACUUACUGUUGAAAAUUGCAGACUUGAAGAAAGAAAUUGUAGAAAUUGAAAACCAGGAGAAUGAAGCUAUCAGAGAAUUGGAAUUCGAACAGGCCUUAUUAGAAGGGGAACACCAGACUGAAAUGAAUGAGUUACAGGUUGAGCAGGAACUCAUCAACCAACUCAAGAAAAAACAUGAUGAAAUUGUAGAAAAAGCAGCACUGGAACGGGAAAGACGAAAAUUUCGGGAUCUUGAACUGAUAGAAGUAGAAAAAAAGAAAUUACUAGAAUUGGAGAAAAAACAUUAUGAAACAGAACAAUUAUUAGAGGCAUGUAUUGUAGAAGAUGAAGACAACCUUUUGGAACGUUAUCAGAAUGAGCAUGAAGUUCUUGAUAAUCAGCGAAUAUAUUUUGACAAUUUAGAAUUUGAAAAAUUAGAGUCGGAAUCAAAAUUUGAACAAGAAAAGGAGCUUGUUCGAGGAGAAAUUCUAAAAAACCAAAAUACUUUACUUGAUAAAUAUAAAUCACGAGAGCAUCGUCUUCACCAGAUUGAUUGCCAACAACGAGAAAUGAUACAACAAGUGAAAGUGAAUGUUGAAUCUCUUGAGAAAAGCAGACAGUCAUUGGUAGAAGAAUUCAGAAAGGAAAAAGCAAGACUGAUAAGUGUGGAACGCAAAAUACAGGAACUAUCGCAGUUCUGCUCUGUAGCAGUCAGUGAUGAGGGUUACGACCAAAGUGGAAGGUCAUCUGAUGCAGAAAGUGAGAAAGUUGUUCUGCUGUUUUCAAUACAACUACAAGGAUGUGAUAAAGUUGAUCUGGUCUCAGCACGUCGAACAAUGCCCGAGUCGAGUGAAGGAGGUGCAGGUGGAGUUAACCCUUUGGCUCCCUCUCACCUAACUAACUCUAUUCCCAGAUGGAACAAUAAGAAACCAAUUUCUCCUACAAUAGAUUCUAACAAGAGCUGGCCAGGACUAUCCUUAGAGAAACCAUCUCACAAUAUUGUGGUGGAGCAGGAACGACAACGGAUCGAGGAACUGAAGCGGCGAGCAGCAGACGAGGGCCGUGCCCAGUGGGAAGAACGCAAGCUAAGAGAAGCUAACUGCAAAAGUUUCAACUCUUUAGAGUCAGAAGAUUCCAGUAUAGCUAGCAGCUGUGAAACGCCUUCAGAGAAAGAGACCAGUCUGAGCAGUGAUAAUGACCACAUGGAGAAACUAUCUGAACUGGAAAGAUUGCUGGCACAGGCACAGAAUGAAAAGAUGCAUUUAAUUGAUGAACAGAGAGAAUUCAUUGAGGCAGAUUUUCUAUGGCUGGAUGCCCUUCCUGUCACCACUCACUUGUUUCCCAGCAAGGUGAAACAGAGAGAGAGUGAAAUGGUAGCAUUGCAGGAAGAACGCUUGAAAAGAGAAGAAUUGGAGAGGAAACUCCAAGAAGAAGCCUUAUUAAGGGAACAAUUAGUCCAACAACAAGUACAACUACGUGAGAAACAAAUCCAACAGGCUCGACCAUUAACCCGGUACUUACCUAUCCGGAAUAAAGAUUUUGAUUUACGUCAACAUAUUGAAGCAGCCGGUCACAACUUAGAUUCUUGUCCCUUGGUUAUUGUCACAAUGACCAGCUGCCGAGGCUAUUUACAAAAAAUGGGGAGCAAGUUUAAGACGUGGCACAAACGCUGGUUCUUCUUUGACCGAAUGAAACGGUCACUUCUUUACUACAGUGACAAAAAUGAAACAAAAGCUCGGGGAGGCAUUUAUUUCCAGGCCAUAGAAGAGGUUUAUGUUGACCACUUAAGGACAGUGAAAAGCCCCAAUCCAAAGCUGACGUUUUGUGUGAAGACUUAUGAUCGGACAUACUACCUUGUUGGCCCUAGUGCUGAAGCCAUGAGGAUAUGGAUUGAUGUUAUAUUCACAGGAGCCGAAGGUUAUCACACAUUCUAAUGGACUCAGUGUCUACACUCCACUUUUAUCCUAACAGAUAAAUAUGCAUAUAUAUAUAUAUGUGUGUGUGUGUGUGUGUAUGUAUAUAUAUAUAUAUAUAUAUAUAUGUACAUAUAUGUGUACAUGUAUGUAUAUGGUAAGCCAAGAGGCAGGAGAAACUAAUUACAAGUGUAGAAUAGUCCCAUGUGUCUGAGAUUUGAUGAGAUAAAUUUCUGUAAUAUCCAGCUCUUUCAUAAACCAAUAUCCCCUCCACUUCUUUUUACAUCAAUCUACAUGUUUGUGGUAAUAAUCUGCUGGGUAUAAAUAUAUAUAUAUAUAUAUAUAUAUAUAUAUAUAUAUAUAUAUAUGUGUGUGUGUGUUUUUGUUUGUAUAUAUGGUCAUCUACAUUUUGUAACAUAACUAGUUCUUGCAAUCAAUCAACUCUUGCUCAGACUAUUGAGAUAACUCAUAUUAAGCAGUGAAAUUAGUCUUUACACCUCCACAAACACCACGACAACCACUUACAACAACAACAUCACUGUAUAACUUUAAAUUGUAUUGUGUGCAUCAGUGAGUGUGUGCAUGCUGUUGAUUGUGUAACUUUCAUUAGAAUUGGGAUUUUAAAAUAAUAACUUUUAUUUUGUAAUCAGUUUACAUAUGUAAUUGACUUUUUAAAAAUAUUCGAAAUUUCUUAAGUUAUUCGGAGUUUAUAUUAGAGAAGUGAACUAAAACACACUCAGAGAAUAUGUAAUGUUUAUAGACAAGUAUAUACCACUGAUAAAAAUGUCUAGUAUAUUCUCUUUUCUCUUAUCUAUUUUAUUUCUUCUUUCUAAAACAAUAACAAAAGAAACAAUAUAAAACACAUAUCCCAAUAAACUAUAUGGAUGUGGAGUUCAGUGUAGAUGCUAUGAUUUCUUACUGGUAAAUUUUAAGUGAACUUAUAUUGUUGCUUUUUAUGACAAAACAUUGUUUUGUUUUUUAGAUUUGUUACAGUCUUCAUACAAUAUUGAAAUAAUAUAUAUUGGAAGAUGGUCUUUUCUUCCAGUUGUAUGUUGGUUCAGUUCUUUUUUUGUUUGUUUAUUUCUAACUAUAGUAUUUUCCACUGUAAAUUGUUAAUGAUGGACAUGGUACAUACAUCUUUCUCUUUCUUCCAACAUGAAAUAUCAAUAUCAAAUAUCAGUUUUAGCCUGACA